rnacentral:rRNA from 1 species
UACGGGGGGAGCAAGCGUUGUUCGGAUUUACUGGGCGUAAAGGGCGCGUAGGCGGCGUGGCAAGUCACUUGUGAAAUCUCCGGGCUUAACUCGGAACGGUCAAGUGAUACUGCUGUGCUAGAGUGCGGAAGGGGCAACUGGAAUUCUCGGUGUAGCGGUGAAAUGCGUAGAUAUCGAGAGGAACACCUGCGGCGAAGGCGGGUUGCUGGGCUGAUACUGACGCUGAGACGCGAAAGCGUGGGGAGCGAACAGG